rnacentral:rRNA from 1 species
GACGAACGCUGGCGGCGUGCUUAACACAUGCAAGUCGAACGGAAAGGCCCUGCUUUUGUGGUGUGCUCGAGUGCCGAACGGGUGAGUAACACGUGAGUAACCUGCCCUUGACUUUCGGAUAACUUCAGGAAACUGGGGCUACUACCGUAUAGGAUCUCCUGCUGCAUGGUGGGGGUUGGAACGUUUCGGCGGUUGGGGUUGGACUCGCGGCUUAUCGGCUUGUUGGUGGGGUAGUGGCUUACCAAGCCUUUGACUGAUAGCCGGCCUGAGAGGGUGACCGGGCACAAGGGGACUGAGAGACGGACCAGAGGCGUAUGGGAGGCAGCAGUGGGGAAUAUGGCACAGUGGGAGGAAGCCGGAGGAAGAAGCGCCGCGUGCGGGAUGACGGCCUUCGGGUUGUAAACCGCUUUAGCCUGUGACGAAGCGGGAGUGACGGUAAUGGGUAAAGAAGCACCGGCUAACUACGUG